rnacentral:rRNA from 1 species
GACGAACGCUGGCGGCGUGCUUAAAACAUGCAAGUCGAACGGACUUCUCAUGAAGCUUGCGAUUGAGAAGUUAGUGGCGGACGGGUGAGUAACGCGUGGGCAACCUGCCCCUGAGCCCGGGAUAACAGUUCGAAAGGACUGCUAAGACCGGAUAUACUUGCGGUGAAGCAUUUCACUGCAAGGAAAGGGAACGCUCAGGGAUGGGCCCGCGUCCCAUUAGCUAGUUGGUGAGGUAACGGCCCACCAAGGCGACGAUGGGUAGCCGGCCUGAGGGGGUGAACGGCCACACUGGGACUGAGACACGGCCCAGACUCCUACGGGAGGCAGCAGUUGGGAAUCUUCGGCAAUGGGCGCAAGCCUGACCGAGCAACGCCGCGUGAGUGAUGAAGGUUUUCGGAUUGUAAAGCUCUGUCUUCCGGGACGAUAAUGACGGUACCGGAGGAGGAAGCCACGGCUAACUACGUG